rnacentral:rRNA from 1 species
CAGUCGCCACGGUAAUACGAAGGGUGCAAGCGUUAAUCGGAAUUACUGGGCGUAAAGCGUGCGUAGGCGGUUUGUUAAGUCUGUUGUGAAAUCCCCGGGCUCAACCUGGGAAUGGCAAUGGAUACUGGCAAGCUAGAGUGAGUCAGAGGAUGGUGGAAUUCCCGGUGUAGCGGUGAAAUGCGUAGAGAUCGGGAGGAACAUCAGUGGCGAAGGCGGCCAUCUGGGACAACACUGACGCUGAGGCACGAAAGCGUGGGGAGCAAACAGGAUUAGAUACCCGAGUAGUCCCUGUCUCUUAUAC